rnacentral:rRNA from 1 species
UACGAAGGGGGCGAGCGUUGUUCGGAAUUACUGGGCGUAAAGGGCGCGUAGGCGGUUCGCUAAGUUGAAUGUGAAAACUCUGGGCUUAACCCAGAGCCUGCAUUCAAUACUGGCGGGCUAGAGUUCUGGAGGGGAUAGCGGAAUUCCUGGUGUAGCGGUGAAAUGCGUAGAUAUCAGGAGGAACACCGGUGGCGAAGGCGGCUAUCUGGACAGAGUCUGACGCUGAGGCGCGAAAGCUAGGGGAGCAAACAGG